rnacentral:rRNA from 1 species
UGGUCAAGUUAUUAAGGGUGCAGGGCGGAUGCCUUGGCACUAGGAGCCGAUGAAGGACGUGAUAAGCUGCGAUAAGCUUCGGGGAGUUGCACGUAAACUUUGAUCCGAAGAUUUCCGAAUGAGGAAACUCACUUAGAGUAAUGUCUAAGUAUCAUUAAGUGAAUACAUAGUUUAAUGAGGGGAACUCAGGGAACUGAAACAUCUAAGUACCUGAAGGAAGAGAAAGAAAUUCGAUUCCGUAAGUAGCGGCGAGCGAACGCGGAUUAGCCCAAACCAAUAAAGUUUUCUUUAUUGGGGUUGAGGACAUACCACAUAUAAGAGGUCAUUAUAGACGAAGAAGUUUGGAAAAACUCAUCAUAGAAGGUAAUAAUCCUGUAGUCAAAAUAAUAAUUCUUUAGGUAUGAUCCAGAGUACCACGGGACACGUGAAACCCUGUGGGAAGCAGGAGGGACCACCCUCCAAGGCUAAAUACUACCUAGUGACCGAUAGCGUAUAGUACCGUGAGGGAAAGGUGAAAAGAACCCCGGGAGGGGAGUGAAAUAGAACCUGAAACCCUGCACUUACAAGCUGUGGAAGCACAUUUCUUGUGUGACCGCGUACUUUUUGUAGAACGGGCCAACGAGUUACGUUAAGUAGCAAGGUUAAGCACUUAAGGUGCGGAGCCGUAGCGAAAGCGAGUUUUAACUGAGCGUUCAGUUACUUGACGUAGACCCGAAACCGGGCGACCUACCCAUGAGCAGGAUGAAGCGAAAGUAAAAUUUCGUGGAGGUCCGAACCCACGAGCGUUGAAAAGCUCGGGGAUGACUUGUG